UGAAUGGGUAAGGCAGUGGCUGAGUGACAGGCAACAGAGGGUUGUAGUUAAUGGAAUAUAUUCGAAGCUUGGACUUGUCACCAGUGGGGUACCUCAGGGACCUGUACUUGGACCCAUUCUCUUUAAUAUUUUUAUUAGUGAUAUUGCAGAAGGUCUUGAUGGUAAGGUAUGUCUUUUUGCUGAUGAUACUAAAAUAUGUAACAG